GUUUGUGUGCGUACCUGUGUUGUCUCCAUGCACAUGCAUUUGCCCUACGCGCGUGUAUGUGCUGUGCAUGCUUCAGGCCGACUCAUCGUCGAAAGAGGCCGAAAGUGAAGAAGCCGUCCUCCAAAUCACUAGGGCAGAUUUGGGAAGGGUGGGUUGGUUAACCACUUUUUCCCCCACAACCCUCCACAUCAACCUUCUCCAGCAGUGGAAGACGGAGGAGUGCAGGUGAACCCAAGGACCUUGACCAUGCUACAAUGGACCAUAACCUGAGAUACCACUCUGCUCUGAUCGAACUUUUGACUUCUGAGAAAGCUGCUGAUUUUCAGAACAGUUCUGUCAGUCACCACCUCAGUCUCUCACACACACACACACACACACACACACACACACACACACACACACACACACACACACACACACACACACACACACACACACACACACACACACACACACACACACACACACACACACAGAGAGACUGAGAGGAAGCUUCAAUGACACUCCAAGUGUCCACUUUUGGCUCACGCACAUUUAGACUCGGAUUAACCCUCAUCCCAAGAUGCCUAUCACCACACUUUGCAUCCUGUCAUCCAGGAUGAACGGUUUGUUGUCCACGGGGCAUUCAGUCUCACUGCUUGUAGAUAACGCGUGUCAGCUUUACUCAGCUUUUGUUUGUGUCACGUGGGUGGGACUAGAUGGAGACACGAAGUGCGUUACAUGUCAAUGCUGCUACACACAAAUGUCAUCGCUCAUGAUGUUGAUUAGCCGAAUCAUUAGCUCUUCCAGUGUGGUUUCUGUGCACCCAGCUUGUCUGCGCACAUAGAAGUGGUGUGGAGGUUUUGAUGACCAGUGACAGACUUUUCGCCAUAACCUUUUGUAUGAUAGUGAACCUAAACGCCGUUGAAUGUCCUCGAUGCAGCAUCACGCCUUCAUCUCAGCCGAGAGGUGAGGUGACAAAGAUUUUACCUGCCUUGAUCCUGUUACUGAACGGGAACACGCAAACCACUAUCUCACAGUUCAACAGAUUGCGUCAUUAUUGAUUACCAAUUUCAUCAUUUAUAUCGUCGAUACCACACUGUAGAAGUACCCAGAUAACAUGUCCAGCUUGCUAUACAUGGUGCUACAGGUUAACAAUACAGAAGUAAAUUUGCUGUACAUAACAGUAUGUAUUUGAAUGUAUGUUGUGCAAUUAAUAUAAAUGUUUACAAUAUUUUUUAUAAUACUGAAGAGUCAGACCUCGUUGUAUGAUAUAUGACAAAAUGACCUUAUAGAGAGAUGUGUAGCUUGAGAUGUUUCUUUGCCCGCAGUUUGUAUGUUUGACCUUUUACUUAUUUACAUUGGAAAAGCACUUAAAAGGUUCACUGUGAUGAGAUGUGCCGUGUGCAUUUAAUGGAUAUAUAGUGUACUUUGUGCCAGAGGAACAUCACCACAGUGUAAUAUACUUUGUGGUGUGGCUUCUUAGCUACCUGCCUUUGCUAACUUUUUUUUUAGCAAAUAUUUCUAUAGACCUGAGUGCUGGUAGUAAUUGUGAAUAAAGUGUUGUUUAACGAAAAACCC